GAGCCCCCUUCGAAGGUUGGACGGACUCUUAAUCCGUUGGUCGCAGGUUCGAAUCCUGCAGGGCCCACCA
rnacentral:tRNA from 1 species